ensembl:lncRNA
UUGUAAUCCGCCAAAAAGCCGCUGAUUGCUGCAAUCGUUACUUUUCAUUAAAAAAACUUAGAAGCAAUUUGGGAGAACCCUUCUCAAUGAAUACAUUUACCCCCGAACGGUCUUUAUUCUCCGCCUCCACUUGAUGAGUUUCUCUGGCACGAAUCAGUUCUUACAGGCACAGAAUGGGCAAUCCCUUGAUCCCCGUCAAUUGUCAUCCCGAGUCGGGGCCACUUUGACCGCCAAUAGUGGGGAAGUCAGAGCUAAUCCUCAGAAGGAAUCACGGGAAAAGAAAAGCAACAAUAACCAAGUCAAGCGUAAAAAAUGAAAGAGAAAUCUCUAUUAUCACUCACUACAUUUCCCAGCUAUGUACUGAAAAAAUCAGCUCGCUUGUCAUUCGAGUCAGACACCCACACAAGAAUAUGGGGUCGUGGUGGGUUGGUAGACUCACACGACGUAAGGAGCGAUAUUUGAGAGCCAAAGGCCUCUCCUCUGCCUCUGCCAAAUCCCUCUCACAUCCGCCAUAACCAUUAAAUACAGACUGACUUUAUUCUGUAUGGGGAGGCCCAGGGGUGGGGGAUGAGGGAGCCCCCAGCUGUGCAUGGAUACAAAAAGGUCCCAGGAGAGAGGAAUGAGGUGGGGGUGGAGUGACGAUGCUAAAGGAAAGCACUUCUCUUGGGCACCUCCUGCUUGGGCAGUUGGGCCUCUCCUGCCUGGGUCCAGCCGCUGCCUGGGACACCCCCUCAACCCUCUCUCCUCAGCCCCUGCAGCUCCAAGGGUGCGCAGACUUGGAGGCUGGGUCCUAGUGCAGCUGCAUGAUGCCCUCGUGCAUUGGGUCCAUGGGCCACGGGCUCUGCACAGCCUCCAGUCUUCCACAGUAGCUGGGACCCACAGCACUGUGGGCUGGGGGUGGGGUGUGAGAGUCCCGGGAAUCGCUGGAGUAGACACAGAAAGACCUGAGAGAGUGUGCAUAUACAGCCACUUUCCACGCUGACACCUACAAUUAUAUGACAUAGGCCUUGAUUCCUUUAUGCCGAAGCCAAGUGAGGGGCAAAGUAAAGCGGGGAUGCAGGGCAGGAUUCCUGGCACUACUGCAGCGUCUGGGGAGGGGUGGCCCUGCAGCCUCCCGCCGCUCUCUCCCUCACUCCCUCCCAAGGGCUGGGGCUGCUCCCUUGCUCAUGGAUGCGGGGUUGAUGGCCAGCACAGGGUUUGGAGGACCUGAAUCCCAAAAGAAAGGGUCAGAACACACAGUCCAGCGACCUCUCCAAGUCCAUUGCUCUCAUGAUGCUGCAAAGCCAGUCCAAGGUGCCUUUUGGCUACUUUCAUUUUCCCUUGCCAGGUCCCCCUGGGGGCCAGGUCCUCAGGGCCCUCCCAUGAUCGAGUGGUGAGGCUGCUUCUCCUGUUGCUCAGGGCAAUGAGGAAGGGCCACAUAGGGGAUGAAGGUGUUUUUUUCAUCAUCUCCUUCCUCAGGCCUUAGAGAUGCAGUCUGCCAGCAGCUCCUGUUCCUCCCAGCCACCCACUUCACCCUCAACCCCCUAACCCCACCCCACACCCUGGUCCCCAACAUCUAGGCAUCCACCCCAUGAAGCCUGUUGUAGCUAUCUCUCUGAGGAACCUCUCCAGACUUCACUCCCCACAGCACACUACAUACACAUCACACACUACAGGUGUACACAUGACAUGCUGCAUACCAUUAGCACAUACAUUAUCACACGUGUACACACAUGCAGAAAGUAAUAUUCAGGGAGCAACAAGCUUCAGAAACAAUCAUAUUUACACAAGACCUGCACUCACC